UGAUCCUGGCUCAGGAUGAACGCUGCGGCGUGCUUUAACACAUGCAAGUCGAACGAUGAAGCCCAGCUUGCUGGGUGGAUUAGUGGCGAACGGGUGAGUAACACGUGAGUAACCUGCCCCCGACUCUGGGAUAAGCCCGGGAAACUGGGUCUAAUACCGGAUAUGACCUCGCACCGCAUGGUGCGGGGUGGAAAGAUUUAUCGGUGGGGGAUGGACUCGCGGCCUAUCAGCUUGUUGGUGAGGUAAUGGCUCACCAAGGCGACGACGGGUAGCCGGCCUGAGAGGGUGACCGGCCACACUGGGACUGAGACACGGCCCAGACUCCUACGGGAGGCAGCAGUGGGGAAUAUUGCACAAUGGGCGAAAGCCUGAUGCAGCGACGCCGCGUGAGGGAUGACGGCCUUCGGGUUGUAAACCUCUUUCAGUAGGGAAGAAGCGAAAGUGACGGUACCUGGAGAAGAAGCGCCGGCUAACUACGUGC
rnacentral:rRNA from 1 species